rnacentral:lncRNA from 1 species
AAGGCUCUGCCGACUUCCAGUUCUGGAACAAGAUGGUUAAACUCAUUUUUCCCUGCUCUGCUCCUCUAAAUACAACUAAGUACCUUGGAAACUAUUCAGCAGACAAUGAUAAAGGGCUCUGAAAGCUAGAAGAAAAGGUGUACUUGCAAGAAACCUCAGGACUUGAGUAACAGCAACAUGGCAGGCCAGAAAGCAGACCCAGGGAGGAUAGCACAUGUCUUCGGCUACACUGGUGAAGGCAUCGUGCCUGCUCCACAGCACAUUUUUAUUCAAGAACAAUCCAUUUCACAGAUGAAGAAACAGACUCAGUGAGCACGUGAUCACUUCUCACAACUAAUGGAGCCAAGAUUCUGUCCUUAUGGCUCCAGAGACCUCUUUUUUUUCCCACUGUACCACAACACUCACCAGGACUGGAGUGCCACCUAUGACCUCAUUGCAUAAUGGAUGGCUUGUCCUCAAAUGGGCCCGGUCUUGGACGAGCCUGAGGAUGUCUACAAGUGGAAGAAAAGAAGCCACUGGAGCAGAAGGUGGGGAGGAUAAAAUUUGGAGCAAGAUUCUCAAGGAAGCAACAAGAUCCUAAGCUCACCAAGCUCCUGUAUCUACUGGAAAAUGGAAGUCCAGCCUUACCAACUUGUGAACCUUGUCUGAAGGGAGCCAGGGCCUGCCAAUGGAACCACCUCCAGGAGCUGCAACUGCUGUUGUCAUUAAUACCAUUGUGUCUAUUUUUUGAGAGAGAUAAACUUUUCAUGGUGUUACAUUUUGGAAAAAAAAAAAAAAGACUAGGUGAACAGUCAGGUAGGAAAGCAGCAUAACAGUCCCUUAAAUUCUGAUCAUGUAGGACAUUCUUCUUUGCCCUGGGCCUGGGAAAAUGCAGCAUGUUCCAGAGCAAAAGUCCUAAUGAGGGGAACUAAACCAGUGGGACCCAAACCAAUGUCCUGGCUCACUGAGGACCCGUUAGAACCAAAUCUCUGGGUGUGGACAGGCUCCCAUACUUUUCAAAAAUUCCCCUGAUGACUAAUGAACAACCAGAGGUAAGAACCAGUGGCCCAGAGGAAUAACCAGCCCAGCUGUUGUACGAGCUCGCUAAGCUGGCUCAGGUCAAUGUUGAAUUCUCUGCUAGGCAGCUCCUCAUAAGAACUGGCAGAGAUGGUUCUUACACAACAACAGGUGACAACUCCAGACUCUGCCGGAAGUUCCAGGAUCUGGGUUCCCGGACAAUGCAUGACACUCAGUCCAGCAUUGCAGGUGGAAGAGCGACGGUGAAAAGACCAAAGUCAAUUAAAAUGUGUUAACCAAAACAGGAAACAUGAGUGAGGUGAUUGAGAGUGUGUUUAACUUAGAUGUGUGAUUUUAUCAAUACUUUCAUUGUUCAAAAACUCUUAUUUUUUAAAGAUAUUUUCAAAACAAA